CGGAACGGCAUGGGAGGGCCGGCCGCAGCGGGUGACAGCCCCGUACGCGAACCCAGACCGGACGGCGCGACGCGGUCCCUGAGUAGGGCCGGGCACGUGAAACCCGGUCCGAACCUGGGUGGACCACCAUCCAAGCCUGAGUACUACCCUGUGACCGAUAGCGCACCAGUACCGUGAGGGAAAGGUGAAAAGCACCCCGGGAGGGGAGUGAAACAGUACCUGAAACCGUGCGCCCACGAGCAGUCGGAGCACCUUUAUGGUGUGACGGCGUGCCUUUUGUAGAAUGAGCCAGCGAGUCGCUGGCGCGGGGCGAGGUUAACCGAAAGGGAGCCGGAGCGAAAGCGAGCCUUAACAGGGCGACUUGAGUCCCGCGCCGCGGACGCGAAGCCGGGUGAGCUAUCCGUGGGCAGGCUGAAGCGGGGGUAAGACCCCGUGGAGGGCCGAACGCACGUCGGUUGAAAACGGCGGCGAUGACCUGCGGAUAGGGGUGAAAGGCCAAUCAAACCCGGAGAUAUCUCGUUCUCCCCGAAAUAGCUUUAGGGCUAGCGUCGCGCGUUCACCGCCGGAGGUAGAGCACCGGAUGGACGAGGGGGCUUCGCCGCCUACCGAAUCCAACCGAACUCCGAAUGCCGGCGGCCCAGAGCGCGGCAGUCAGAGCAUGUGGGCUAAGCUGUGUGCUCGAGAGGGAAACAGCCCGGACCGCCCGCUAAGGUCCCCAAGUUCCAGCCGAGUGGCAAAGGAUGUGCGUCCGCCCAGACAACCAGGAUGUUGGCUUAGAAGCAGCCAUCCAUUCAAAGAGUGCGUAACAGCUCACUGGUCGAGUGGACAUGCGCCGACAAUACACGGGGCUAAGCUGGACACCGAAGCGGCGGGAUUUUAAUUCAUUAGAAUCGGUAGGGGAGCUUCCCAUGGGCGGAGAAGCCGGAGGGCGACCGACGGUGGAGCGCAUGGGAGUGAGAAUGCUGGCAUGAGUAGCGAGAGACGAGAGAGUAACUCGUCCGCCGUGAACCCGAGGUUUCCUGGGCAAGGCUAAUCCUCCCAGGGUCAGUCGGGGGCUAAGGCGAGGCCGGUAGGCGUAGCCGACGCGCAGCAGGCAGACAUUCCUGCACCGCGCACGCGGCGCUACGACCGACGGGGCGACGGAUGGGGGUGGCUCGGCGGGGUUCUGGACGUCCCCGUGAUGGAGCGCGGCCCGCGGACCAGGGAAAUCCGGUCCGCAGGAGGGCGAGGCUCCGGACGAAGCGAUUGAGCGAAGCGAGUGAGCCCGAGGUCCCUAGAAAAACCCCUAGGCAGGCGCGUGCGCGCCCGUACCGCAAACCGACACAGGUGGGUGGGUAGAACAUACCGAGGCGAUCGGGUCAACCAUGGUCAAGGAACUCGGCACAAUGGCCCCGUAACUUCGGGAGAAGGGGUGCCCGCGCGUACGUGAACCGGCUCGCCCGGGGAGCGGAGGCGGGCCGCAGUGGAGAGGCCCAAGCGACUGUUUACCAAAAACACAGGACUCUGCAGAAGCCGCAAGGCGACGUAUAGGGUCUGACGCCUGCCCGGUGCCGGAAGGUCACGCGGAGGAGUUAGCCGAUUCGGCGAAGCCCCGAAGCCAAGCCCCGGUAAACGGCGGCCGUAACUAUAACGGUCCUAAGGUAGCGAAAUUCCUUGUCGGGUAAGUUCCGACCUGCACGAAAGGCGCAACGACUUGGGCGCUGUCUCGACCAUGGACCCGGUGAAAUUGCACUGGUCGUGAAGAUGCGACUUACCCGCGGAAGGACGGAAAGACCCCGUGAACCUUCACUGCAGCUUGGCAUUGGCCGCUGGUCCCGCGUGUAGAGGAUAGGCAGGAGGCACAGAUCCGGAGGCGCCAGCCCCCGGGGAGCCGACCUUGGAAUACUGCCCUCGCGCGACCGGCGUCCUAACCCGAGGCCGUCAACCGGCUCGGGGACCGUGCCAGGCGGGCAGUUUGACUGGGGCGGUCGCCUCCUA
rnacentral:rRNA from 1 species